rnacentral:rRNA from 1 species
UACGGAGGGUGCGAGCGUUGUCCGGAAUCACUGGGCGUAAAGGGCGCGUAGGCGGCUUUUUAAGGGUGCGGUGAAAGCCCGGGGCUUAACCCCGGGUCGGCCGUGCCGACUGAAAAGCUGGAGCACUGUAGAGGCAGGUGGAAUUCCGGGUGUAGCGGUGGAAUGCGUAGAGAUCCGGAAGAACACCAGUGGCGAAGGCGGUCUGCUGGGCAGUAGCUGACACUGAGGCGCGACAGCGUGGGGAGCAAACAGG